CGCAGGAUGGAGCAGUCGGUAGCUCGUUGGGCUCAUAACCCAAAGGUCACAGGUUCGAGUCCUGUUCCUGCUA
rnacentral:tRNA from 1 species